rnacentral:tRNA from 1 species
GCCGGCUUAGCUCAGUUGGUAGAGCAGCUGAUUUGUAAUCAGCAGGUCGUCGGUUCGAACCCGUCAGCCGGCU